GGGGGCAGCCUAUACUGCAGUCGAGCGAGCUUGCCUAGAUGAUUUUAGUGCUUGCACUAAAUGAAACUAGAUACAAGCGAGCGGCGGACGGGUGAGUAACACGUGGGUAACCUGCCCAAGAGACUGGGAUAACACCUGGAAACAGAUGCUAAUACCGGAUAACAACACUAGACGCAUGUCUAGAGUUUGAAAGAUGGUUCUGCUAUCACUCUUGGAUGGACCUACGGUGCAUUAGCUAGUUGGUAAGGUAACGGCUUACCAAGGCAAUGAUGCAUAGCCGAGUUGAGAGACUGAUCGGCCACAUUGGGACUGAGACACGGCCCAAACUCCUACGGGAGGCAGCAGUAGGGAAUCUUCCACAAUGGACGAAAGUCUGAUGGAGCAACGCCGCGUGAGUGAAGAAGGGUUUCGGCUCGUAAAGCUCUGUUGGUAGUGAAGAAAGAUAGAGGUAGUAGCUGGCCUUUAUUUGACGGUAAUUACUUAGAAAGUCACGGCUAACUACGUGCCAGCAGCCGCGGUAAUACGUAGGUGGCAAGCGUUGUCCGGAUUUAUUGGGCGUAAAGCGAGUGCAGGCGGUUCAAUAAGUCUGAUGUGAAAGCCUUCGGCUCAACCGGAGAAUUGCAUCAGAAACUGUUGAACUUGAGUGCAGAAGAGGAGAGUGGAACUCCAUGUGUAGCGGUGGAAUGCGUAGAUAUAUGGAAGAACACCAGUGGCGAAGGCGGCUCUCUGGUCUGCAACUGACGCUGAGGC
rnacentral:rRNA from 1 species